ensembl:lncRNA novel transcript
CAACAUUGGUAGGAUACAGAUGCUGUGUGAAAAGCCACAUGCUGGAACAAGGUUCUGAAUCUUUCAGCUGAUGUGGCCACCCUGGUUGCUGUGGGACACCUGUCUCCUCCUGCCGUCCAAAAGAGCAAGAAGCACUAAACUCUGUCUUCGGUCAGCAUGACUCUCAGCCCAUGUAAG